UGCUCCAGGGCCAGCUCCAAAAUGUCACGAGAGCCUGGAAUGCCGCCCAGGCAGCGGCAGCUGCUGCCAGAAAACGCCAUUGUGUAGCAGGAAGAGAAAUUUCUGAGCAACUCUGAAGCACUCAAAUUGUCCACAAGAGGUCAGCAGAGGCAUUAAUCUCUGAAUUCUGGACAACAUGGAAAGGAACAUCACUGUAUUCUCACAAUACAGUUGAGAUGAAAGAAAGCUUUGCUGAAGAGAGUGGAGCCAAGCUGAGUUGUGUAUUCAUGAGGAGAGUGGUACAGCGAGAGGGAAGGAGACCUAAAGCUGAGAGGAAGGAGGGAGAUCCUUAAACAGUGAGUUUUUGUUCUUCUCCCAUUCUAUAGCAUUCAUGAACAGCUUCAGUACAAUUGUGACCCUUUUUUUUUUCUUUUCAUACUGGGGCAUCUUGACCUCCCUUCCCACCUUGAAAGCACCUGGAAGAUCUCUGAGGGUGACUUCAGUCUAGAAGAACUUAAAGGUAGAAUCUGGAUGGAAUUCUGAGGCAGCAGUAGCUAGAAAGGCCUAUUUGAAGGGCUGACCUAGCAGAACACCCUUGAUUUAAAAUACAUGAACAUGUAAUGUGGGAAAGGUAGCAUGCAAUUCUAUUCACAUCAGGACACUAGUGGAAGACAAGACCUCAGAAGCUGGUCCAGGACUCAAACAUCUUUCACCUUCUAGAAAAGGAUGCAUCUGCUAUCUUCAGUAUGUUACAUUUUUUCCAGUCUUAAAUUAACCCAGGCAAAAGCCUAGAGAAUGGAAAUUCGGAAAGGGCAGAAUGUGUUAAGCUUAGGGCUGAAAUAACACGAGCCAUGGGAUAAGAAGGAGAGCCAUUUGGCAGACUGGGUGCAAUCCUUGGGAAAGUGACAAGCAGGAUCCGAAUGCAACAGCACCCUCCCAUCACGUUUCCCAACAACUAGCACAGUGCAUUUAUAUGCCCUAAAAGGCAGCAUUUAAAUGUUUGCCUUGCUAACUCAGACUAAAAUAUAUUAGAAGAUAAAGGUCUGUUGAAAAGGGGCAUAACAACACAAUGGAGACUGAAUGCUAAAGUUUAAUGUCUGCAGUUGCUCAUUGCUUGGUCCUCAUGAGUCCACCUGCUCAUUGCCUUGCCCUGCUUUUUUUAUACUCAGUCCUGUCAACUGGAGUGGCGUUUCGUGCAAUCUAGGUAUCACAUAUGAAAACAAAAAGCCCUGUACAUGUUUUCCCAACUGGACACAGAAUUCAGGUGUUCUUGGCACAGAGUAACUCCAGUGUUAUCCACAGGAUAGUGUUAGCCUGAUUAAACUUCCAUGAGCAGAGCCUCUUUAAGUGCCACUUGUGAUGCAACAACAAAAACAGCCUUGGGACCCCUGUACGGUACAGGCAUUUUAUGCCAGGGCAAGCCCAUGCAGCAUCCUCAUGAGUAUAACCACCAUCGCCCAGGUCCCAGCCCAGAAAUCUGGCCUCUGGGGACUUCAGGAGAUAGGUGGAGUCUGGAUUUCUGUUUUAGUCAGUUUUCUCCCAUAAAGUUCAGGGGCAAGUUGAAGUCUGUACAGAGCAACACACUGUCCCUACAUUCAGUGCAAGUUUUCAAGCAUGCCUUGAAGAUUUGUUUCUUCAGGCUGCCUUUCUGAGACAAAGGCAACUGAUUCUCGAGAAUAUAUUUUGCCUAGUAGUAUGGUAUUCUUGUGGCUUGACAGUUCAAAUGGACCUUCAUGAAUCUCCUGUUGUUGUUAUAUGCAACUUUUAAGGCCUAUGUCCUAAAAGGCAGCAUGUACUUCUUUAAAAUAAAAUUAACCCAUCUGGCUUC